UUAACGAUUAUGUGUUACUCGGACGGUACGUUUGAUAGGGUUUGGUGGGCCUCUGACGGGCACGGGCCAGCCGGAGCCGGCGGUCCCGGGAGACGGGCCCGUCAAAGCAACACGGAUAGGUAGACAGAGGGUUGGAGAUCUACCCCGGAGGGCACGUUCUCAUUAAUGAUCCUUCCGCAGGUUCACCUACGGAAA
rnacentral:misc_RNA from 1 species